rnacentral:lncRNA from 1 species
AUUGGGUUUGGAUAGGGCUUGGACCUUUAAUUUUAUAAUAUUUUUGGGCCUAAACCCAAUUCGAAGCCUGAAAAAAUAUUUCAGGUCGGGCUUAGGUAUGGGUGUGACCCAUUUCCAGCCCUAAGUCUACAAGGAGGUCUAAAAGCUAGAAGAGGGGGUGGGGGAUGAUGACUAAUAUAUAGCCAAUGGUGGAAGGAGAGCAACACAAAUUGUUAGUGCCACAUGACUUUUUAUAGCUUGUUCAGGCUCCACUUGCUGGUCUUCUACUCAAACUCAUCAACUUCUCUUUUAGCAUC